rnacentral:rRNA from 1 species
GACGAGCGCUGGCGGCGUGCUUAACACAUGCAAGUCGAACGGGAUAAUUUGAGAGCUUGCUCUUAGAGAAUCUAGUGGCAAACGGGUGAGUAACACGUAGACAACCUGCCGACAGGAUGGGGACAACAUUCCGAAAGGAAUGCUAAUACCGAAUGAAGCGGAGGAGAGGCAUCUCUCCUCCGUGAAAGAUGGCCUCUGAAUAUGCUAUCACCUGUCGAUGGGUCUGCGUCUGAUUAGCUAGUUGGUGAGGUAACGGCUCACCAAGGCGACGAUCAGUAGCCGGUCUGAGAGGAUGAACGGCCACAUUGGGACUGAGACACGGCCCAGACUCCUACGGGAGGCAGCAGUGGGGAAUCUUCCGCAAUGGGCGCAAGCCUGACGGAGCAACGCCGCGUGAGUGAAGAAGGGCUUCGGAUCGUAAAGCUCUGUUGACGGGGACGAACGUGCGAAGGGUGAAUAAUCCUUUGUAAUGACGGUACCUGUCGAGGAAGCCACGGCUAACUACGUG